GCUUGUCUCAAAGAUUAAGCCAUGCAUGUCUAAGUAUAAACUGCUUUAUACUGUGAAACUGCGAAUGGCUCAUUAAAUCAGUUAUAGUUUAUUUGAUGGUACUUACUUACUCGGAUAACCGUAGUAAUUCUAGAGCUAAUACGUGCGUAAAUCCCGACUUCUGGAAGGGACGUAUUUAUUAGAUAAAAGGCCGACCGGGCUCUGCCCGACUCGCGGUGAAUCAUGAUAACUUCACGAAUCGCACGGCCUCGUGCCGGCGAUGUUUCAUUCAAAUUUCUGCCCUAUCAACUUUUGAUGGUAGGAUAGAGGCCUACCAUGGUGGUAACGGGUGACGGAGGAUUAGGGUUCGAUUCCGGAGAGGGAGCCUGAGAAACGGCUACCACAUCCAAGGAAGGCAGCA
rnacentral:rRNA from 1 species